GUCAGAAUAUAUAAGAGAGGACCACAAGCUUAAUUAAUCGAGUGGAGUUCUUAGAUGGAGCAGGAUAGAGCUAUUCACAAUCAGCAUCAACCAGGUGGAGGAAGAAACAAGUCUUGCCCUUGUGUGAAGAAGAAAGGAAAAAGGGGCUUCAUUGAAGGAUGCUUGUUUGCCCUUUGCUGCUGCUGGCUUUGUGAUGCUUGCUUUGAUGUUACGGUUAGUUAAGACUUAAAGACGCAGCCAGAUGAUGCCAAUCAAAUAAUUGUCCCCUGAUAAUACUAAUUAUGUAUAGUUUGUACCACUUUUUAUUUCCUUUUUAAUCUUAGCUAUUCUUUAAAUAUGUAAUAAUAUGCUGGCUGAUGAUUUCAAUAUUAAUAAUUAUAUUAUAAUUUUUAUAAUAUCUCUAAUAGUUAAUUUAUGGCCCAAGUUAGUGUGCAAGGGAUAUUAGAAUAUUUUUAUAUU